ACGAGAGAUGAGGAGCUUGCUCUUCAAAUCGAGUGGCGAACGGGUGAGUAACGCGUGAGGAACCUGCCUCAAAGAGGGGGACAACAGUUGGAAACGACUGCUAAUACCGCAUAAGCCCACGGCUCGGCAUCGAGCAGAGGGAAAAGGAGCAAUCCGCUUUGAGAUGGCCUCGCGUCCGAUUAGCUAGUUGGUGAGGUAACGGCCCACCAAGGCGACGAUCGGUAGCCGGACUGAGAGGUUGAACGGCCACAUUGGGACUGAGACACGGCCCAGACUCCUACGGGAGGCAGCAGUGGGGAAUAUUGCACAAUGGGGGAAACCCUGAUGCAGCGACGCCGCGUGGAGGAAGAAGGUCUUCGGAUUGUAAACUCCUGUUGUUGAGGAAGAUAAUGACGGUACUCAACAAGGAAGUGACGGCUAACUACGUGCCAGCAGCCGCGGUAAAACGUAGGUCACAAGCGUUGUCCGGAAUUACUGGGUGUAAAGGGAGCGCAGGCGGGAGAACAAGUUGGAAGUGAAAUCCAUGGGCUCAACCCAUGAACUGCUUUCAAAACUGUUUUUCUUGAGUAGUGCAGAGGUAGGCGGAAUUCCCGGUGUAGCGGUGGAAUGCGUAGAUAUCGGGAGGAACACCAGUGGCGAAGGCGGCCUACUGGGCACCAACUGACGCUGAGGCUCGAAAGUGUGGGUAGCAAACAGGAUUAGAUACCCUGGUAGUCCACACCGUAAACGAUGAUUACUAGGUGUUGGAGGAUUGACCCCUUCAGU
rnacentral:rRNA from 1 species